rnacentral:rRNA from 1 species
GUAGCGGCGAGCGAAACGGGAAAAGCCCAAACCAAGAUGCUUGCAUCUUGGGGUUGUAGGACUCCGAUAUGGUAGUCCAACCAGAUAGUCGAAUGACUUGGAAAAGUCAGUCAAAGAGGGUAAAACCCCGUAGACGAAAUGUGGUUGACACCUAGGGGGAUCCUGAGUACGGCGGAACACGAGGAAUUCCGUCGGAAUCCGGGAGGACCAUCUCCCAGGGCUAAAUACUCCCUAGUGACCGAUAGUGAACCAGUACCGUGAGGGAAAGGUGAAAAGCACCCCGGAAGGGGAGUGAAAUAGAUCCUGAAACCGUGUGCCUACAACAAGUUAGAGCCCGUUAAUGGGUGAUAGCGUGCCUUUUGUAGAAUGAACCGGCGAGUUACGAUAGCAUGCGAGGUUAAGUUGAAGAGACGGAGCCGUGGCGAAAGCGAGUCUGAAUAGGGCGAAUGAGUAUGUUGCCGUAGACCCGAAACCAUGUGAUCUACCCAUGUCCAGGUUGAAGGUGCGGUAAAACGCACUGGAGGACCGAACCCACGUACGUUGAAAAGUGCGGGGAUGAGGUGUGGGUAGCGGAGAAAUUCCAAACGAACUUGGAGAUAGC